rnacentral:rRNA from 1 species
AUUGAACGCUGGCGGCAGGCCUAACACAUGCAAGUCGAGCGGAUGAAGGGAGCUUGCUCCUGGAUUCAGCGGCGGACGGGUGAGUAAUGCCUAGGAAUCUGCCUGGUAGUGGGGGAUAACGUCCGGAAACGGGCGCUAAUACCGCAUACGUCCUGAGGGAGAAAGUGGGGGAGCUUCGGACCUCACGCUAUCAGAUGAGCCUAGGUCGGAUUAGCUAGUUGGUGGGGUAAAGGCCUACCAAGGCGACGAUCCGUAACUGGUCUGAGAGGAUGAUCAGUCUCACUGGAACUGAGACACGGUCCAGACUCCUACGGGAGGCAGCAGUGGGGAAUAUUGGACAAUGGGCGAAAGCCUGAUCCAGCCAUGCCGCGUGUGUGAAGAAGGUCUUCGGAUUGUAAAGCACUUUAAGUUGGGAGGAAGGGCAGUAAGUUAAUACCUUGCUGUUUUGACGUUACCAACAGAAUAAGCACCGGCUAACUUCGUG